rnacentral:lncRNA from 1 species
UAUGACCAGGUCACUAACCUACCGUGACAAGAGAGAAGAGGCAACAAGGAAAUCAUCAUCUCCGGUGAGCCUACAAGUAUCCACCAAAUGGAGGAGUCUCUGCUUAUCUGUGUCCUUUCCUUUCCAUCACGAAGCAUCCCUACAAAGGAACUAAAAUUUCUGUUUACAAAUGAGGAAAUUAAAGCUUCAGGAUAUAAACUGCCUGGUAUUGGCGAGUUCCAAAGUAAGACUCAAGCCACCAACAGUUAGACCUGCAAAAUCGGUGUUCUUUUACAAAAUGGUGGCCAGUGGCCCCACCCAAGUAGUGAGCCUCAUGCUAUUAACAAGCAACUUCUGUUGAGAUAGAUGUGACCUUGGUGCCGAAGACAUCCACAAAGAUAAGGAUUCUCACGGAGACAGAGACAGAGGUGAGGCUCAGCAGGGCAGCCCAGGAAAGCACCAGCCUAUUACAAACUCAUCCUCAGUGAAACUAUGCUUUGGAGAUGUCCAGUCCUCUGUAUAUUCAUCUUCAGUACAGGGACAUCUUUGGAUGUAUAUUUGGAACCAGUUGCCAAAACUUUUACUGUUGUAGCUGGGAAUCCUGCCUCCUUCUACUGCACUGUAACAGGAGGGGACAUGAAGAAUUAUCAUAUGAGCUGGUAUAAGAAGAAUGGAAAUAAUGCUCUGUUUUUAGUAUACAAGCUAAAUAGCAAUUCUAC